GGAGUUAGCCGGUGCUUCUUCUGCGAGUAACGUCACAGAUGUAAGGUAUUAACUUACACCCUUUCCUCCUCGCUGAAAGUGCUUUACAACCCGAAGGCCUUCUUCACACACGCGGCAUGGCUGCAUCAGGGUUUCCCCCAUUGUGCAAUAUUCCCCACUGCUGCCUCCCGUAGGAGUCUGGGCCGUGUCUCAGUCCCAGUGUGGCUGAUCAUCCUCUCAGACCAGCUAGGGAUCGUCGCCUAGGUGAGCCUUUACCUCACCUACUAGCUAAUCCCACCUGGGCUUAUCCAUCAGCGCAAGGCCCGAAGGUCCCCUGCUUUCCCCCGUAGGGCGUAUGCGGUAUUAGCAGUCGUUUCCAACUGUUAUCCCCCACAAAUGGGCAAAUUCCCAGGCAUUACUCACCCGUCCGCCGCUCGUCAUCUUCAAAAGCAAGCUUUUGAAAUGUUACCGCUCGACUUGCAUGUGUUAGGCCUGCCGCCAGCGUCAUCUGAGCAGAUACAACUACUGA
rnacentral:rRNA from 1 species